GUCGCGGCGGCUACGCCCACCUGGACCCAGUUUACCCUGUACUGUGCUGCAAAAUAUUACUUUCUCCCCAUCUGGAAUUCUUCCCUUCCUCCUUCCUGCCGCAGUGGUGUACUGAGCACUUUCACAAAGAACAAAAUUUUAAAUAAAUUAAAAACGACACCUGUAAUUUGAGAAGAUGCUUGAUAUCAGAAGAGGAGAAGAGUGGAGAGGGGUGGAGUGGCAAAGGAGAGCCUCCAAACCAAAAGCCUGCGGCAGAGGCCCUAGGAGGCAAGCACUUAACCAUGUUUCAGGACUAGAAACGAAACAUGUGACAAGACCUUUAAAAACAAAUAGAAUGGGAUGGAAUAAAGUUGGAUGAGUAAGCAGGCAUCAAAUCAUUCAGAAACUUGUUGUCCAAGUUGAAGAAUUUGUUUAGUAUUGUAUAAUAAAUGCAGAGGAAGCUAUAUACACUUAUAAUUUACAUUUUUUAAAGGCCACGUUGUAGCUCAAUCGGAUAGUUUGUCUUUUGAUGGGAUGUAGUAUACAGUAUCAUCAUGGUAUAUUCCAGGCAAAAAUAUUUAACUUGAAUCUGUCAAGCCUUUGCAUCUAACACAGUUUAUAAAAAAUACAACAGAUAGAUGAACAAACUAAAUGAUGCCAGAGGAAGUAACUAGACAGAUCCAGAAGGUGAAACAUUCUGCAGGAUAACUGGCCCAUCUCUUCAACAAUUUGUCAUGAUAAAAGCAACUGCUUUAUGAAAAGAAAUUUAAGGGACAUAACAGUUUGAAUUGGAUCCUGGUUUGAACAGACUGUCUAUAAAAUGCAUUUUCAGGACCAUUAAAGAAAUAUGAAUGUAGAUGGACUGAGUAUUGGAUAAAAUAGAACUGUAUUGCCAUGGAAAAGAUCAUUAACUGAAAAGAGCAAGUCACGAAAUAGUAUGUUACAGCAUCUCAUUUUGGUUUAAAAAUGCACAUAUAUGUAUUUAUGUACAACUAAAAAAAUAGUGGGCUUAUACCCUAAGGUGUUAGUAUUGGUAAUCUUUGGAAGUGGAAAUGUGUAUUUUUUUCUUUGUGUUUGCCUAUCUUUUUCAUUGUAACUUUUGCAGCACAUAGACUACUUUCAUUAUAGUAAAAGUUUAUUUUACCACAAUUUUUUUUUUUUUAGAAAGAGUCUCACUCUGUCACCCAGGCUGGAGUGCAGUGGCACAAUCUCAGCCCACUGCAACCUCCACCUCCCAGGUUCAAGCUAUUCUCCUGCCUCAGCCUUCUGAGUAGCUGGGACUACAGGUGCACACCACAUGCCUGGCUAAUUUUUGUAUUUUUAAUAGAGACUGGAUUUCGCGAUGUUGGCCCGGCUGGUCUCGAACUCCUGGCCUCAAGUGAUCCACCCGCUUUAGCCUCCCAAAGUGCUGGGAUUACAGGCGUGAGCCACUGCACCCGGCCUAUUUUACCACAAUUUAUAAAAAUUUUUGUUUAUUUUAAUUAAGCUAUUCUAUGUUAAAAUAAGUAGCCACCCUUGGCUGAUGCAUAAAGAAAAAAUUAGAGGAAGGAAAGAAUGGAGGCAAGGAGGCAAAUCAUGAGACCAUUUCAGAAAUCAAGACGAAAUCAGGAAAGCUAACAUUAGCAAGAGUGAACCAAACUGAUAAUAUCUUUGAGUUUAAAACUGAAGAAUUUACCAAUGAACUGCAUAGGAAAGUAAAGAAAAGAGAGUGGUCAAGAUAGGUCCUGGUUUUGGGGCCUGAACAUCUGAGUGGUUAGUAGAAUCAUUACCAGUUGAUAACCCAUGGAAGAGGGUGGGGGAUGGGUGGUGUCUUGUAGGUUGGUUGACAGGACUGACCCAUUGGGAAGAUAACGAAGAAGCAAAGUAUAUGAAAAGAGGAGAAAGGGUAACCAGAGGAGGGAGGAUACAAAGGGAGUGAUUAGCCAUCAGAAAGAUGAGGGACAUGACAUUUGUUGAGGCAGAUGGCGGAGAAAAGAAAGUUAACAUAGAUGUGGUUAGUUUUGUGGCAUUGACCAAAGGAAGAUUAAGGUGAUACUAUCUGAUGGCUUGGAAUGAAAACCAAACUCCCUGCCACAACAUGAUGAUCUUUCUCUGCAACUUCAUAUUUUGCCUCUUGUUCCUCAUUUGUUACCACUGAGUCACAAUGGUCUUUUUAGUUUCUCAAACACACCAAGAUCUUUCUUGCCUCAUGUGACCUAGAAUGUUUUCUCCCUUUCUUCAUAUCUCAGUUGAAAGGUCUCCUCUCCUCAUCAUCAUACUAUCUAAAGUAGAUUCCCUCCCUUGUUAACCUCUAGCGCAGCCAUUAGUUCCUUCAUAACACUUACCCUAACUUGCAAGUAUUUUGUUUGUUGAUAUAAUUUUUAUCUGACUUCCCCACUAAAAUGUAAGCUCCAUGAGGGCAAAAAUUGUGUGUUUUGUAUACUGAUGCAUCUCUAGCACUUGGUAUAGCAGGCAUUCAAUAAAUAUCAUUAAAUAAGUUUCACCCUUGUAAAAAAAAAAAAUAUAUAUAUAUAAAAUAUAUUCUCUACUUCCAAAAUAACACACUUUCACCAACAACAAGCACUCCAGCUAAUUAGGCAAUAGGCCAAUAAGCAAAGAAUUAUGGUAUAUUAGUCAAGAUUGGCUAGCUUAUGUUCUGACAAUAAACAAUUUCAAAAUCUCAGUUUCAAUUUUAAACUCAAAGAUACUAAUAAACAUUUGUUCUUUGCUCACACAAAGUCUAAUAUGGAACAGGCUUAGAGUUGUCCUCCAACCAGUGUCUGAGCAAUCCAGACCACUUUGAUCUUGUAACUCUGCCAUCCCAACAUGAGAUUCCACUUUCACUGCAGAAGAGGAAAUCUGUAGCAUCAUGCAGCAGCUUGUCACUACCUCAGCCCUCCUACUUCCACUUGCAUUUCACUAGCUAGAACCUUUCACAUGGCUCCACCAAACUGCAAUGGGACUGGGAAGGGAGAAUCAGAUAUUAGGGAGCAUUUAUAAUGCCUUCCAAGGGUGUGUUUCACUGCUUCCAAACUUGCUUAUGAUGAUGUUUUUCAUUUAUGUAAUGAAAUGCCAUAUGUUCUUAGUGUGUAUUCUCAGCAUAACGAGUACAUUUGGAGAAUAUUAAGUCAGUGGACUUUCCUUCUUGAAAAUUCCUGGUUCUGGGCCUAUCAUUAACCCCACUGAUUGAACCAGUGGAAAUAGUUGCCUCUUCGAAUGGAGAGAACCCUGCUGAAGGCAGCUUUGAGUUUCAAAAUAGUGUGUUUCAAGUCCACAUGGAGACGAUAGCCUGAAAGUAAGCACUUAUGAUUUUUGGAGGAGUCUUUGUUAUUAAGGAGAAAAGAGGCUUACAGAAGUCAGAUUCAGAAGACUGUAGUAUUUUUACAAUAAAUGAGAGUAAACAGUAUAAGGAUUUGAUGUAAGGGAAGUUCCUGCAGUGCAAGAAAGAAAGUCCUUUUGGUGCUGAGCGGAACAGUCUAAGAGAGAAAAGGUGAAGAACAAAAGGAAAAUGUAAAUGUGGUAUUCACACUUCCCUACUCCACACUCAGGAUAAACCUAGAGUAUGAGGUAGAGGCGGGAAUCUAGAGGGGAGGAAGCAUAGAAUAGGAACACCCAAAUAGACUUGAUGAAACAAAAAACAUCAAGGAUGGCUCCCGUGUCACCUGGGAAGACACACUUCAUGUAAGGAAUGGAAAAAAGGCAAUGGUAAGGGACAGGGGCCCUGGAUUUUUUACAACAUGCGAUAGAGAACUAUUUGUCUCCUUAAUUUAUUUAACUUUAAAAAAUAAUAAUGAAUGAAAGAAAAAUUACCCAUUUUUCAAAUAUGGGUGUGUAAGUUUUUUCCACUUUGUACAAAAAAUUUUAAAGAAACGAAAACUGCUGAACACCUUAUAUUCAGAAUUACUCCCUGUAUAAGCCCAUUCCAAUUCCAUAUACUGCUGAUUAAAUUUCCAUCAGUUGGCAGUUCUCUAAUAUCAGUUUCACUGCUAUUUAACUAACUACUGCCCUUUGCUACCAGUGUCUCUCUUGGAUGAGAGUCACUUUACUUGAAUAAGAUAACUUCUGAGAAUAAAUCUAUGCACUAUUUUGGAAGAAUUGCUCUAUAGAGUAAAAAAUAAUUCUGGAUAAUUGAAAGUUAUCUUGUGAGUAUCUGGACAUUAAGGAUACAUUUCAAGACUCCUGUUUUCACUAAAAUCCAAUAUUUGUUUAAGCACUUCAAGUUAAAGAGGAGCACCUUCCCCUUUCACCCUGACUAUCGUUGUUAAUUCGUUUUUGAAGCUAUAUAAGAACGUUUCUUUAAUCGGUUUUCCCUUAGGCAUACAUUAGCUCUCUGUUCAAGACUUAGUAGCAGAGAGUAGUAAGUAAAUGGUUAUUAGUGGUUCUUCAUAUAAAACACAUUUGAGUUUCUUAGAAGAAAACUAUGCAUAAAGAUUACUUUCAGAUAUCAUGUCUGUAGUUCGUUAAUAGAGAAGUUUCUCUGAACGUGUGGAACACUGUAAUAAGAUAAAUAAAUUUUUAAAAAGAAAAAGUAAGCAUAUAUACAAAAUGUAUGUAAUUUCAUUUGUCUUCACUUAUUUAAUAUUUAUAACCAU
rnacentral:lncRNA from 1 species